rnacentral:rRNA from 1 species
AAUCAACGCUGGCGGCGUGCCUCAGACAUGCAAGUCGAGCGAUUAAAGCUCUCUUCGGAGAGUGCAUAAAGUGGCGUACGGGUGAGUAACACGUAAGUAAUCUACCUUUGGGUGGGGGAUAACUCAGGGAAACUUGAGCUAAUACCGCAUAAUGCAGCGGCUCCAAUUGGAGACAGUUGUUAAGGGAUUUAUCCGCCUAAAGAGGAGCUUGCGGUAGAUUAGCUAGUUGGUAAGGUAACGGCUUACCAAGGCUACGAUCUAUAGCCGACCUGAGAGGGUGGUCGGUCACACUGACACUGAAUAACGGGUCAG